rnacentral:rRNA from 1 species
AGAGUUUGAUCAUGGCUCAGGACGAACGCUGGCGGCGUGCCUAAUACAUGCAAGUCGAGCGGACAGAUGGGAGCUUGCUCCCUGAUGUUAGCGGCGGACGGGUGAGUAACACGUGGGUAACCUGCCUGUAAGACUGGGAUAACUCCGGGAAACCGGGGCUAAUACCGGAUGCUUGUUUGAACCGCAUGGUUCAAACAUAAAAGGUGGCUUCGGCUACCACUUACAGAUGGACCCGCGGCGCAUUAGCUAGUUGGUGAGGUAAUGGCUCACCAAGGCAACGAUGCGUAGCCGACCUGAGAGGGUGAUCGGCCACACUGGGACUGAGACACGGCCCAGACUCCUACGGGAGGCAGCAGUAGGGAAUCUUCCGCAAUGGACGAAAGUCUGACGGAGCAACGCCGCGUGAGUGAUGAAGGUUUUCGGAUCGUAAAGCUCUGUUGUUAGGGAAGAACAAGUACCGUUCGAAUAGGGCGGUACCUUGACGGUACCUAACCAGAAAGCCACGGCUAACUACGUGCCAGCAGCCGCGGUAAUACGUANGUGGCAAGCGUUGUCCGGAAUUAUUGGGCGUAAAGGGCUCGCANGCGGUUCCUUAAGUCUGAUGUGAAAGCCCCCGGCUCAACCG